GUACACUCCUACGGGAGGCAGCAGUGGGGAAUUUUGGACAAUGGGCGAAAGCCUGAUCCAGCAAUGCCGCGUGAGUGAAGACGGCCUUCGGGUUGUAAAGCUCUUUUGUCAGGGAAGAAACGGUGAAAGCUAAUAUCUUUUGCUAAUGACGGUACCUGAAGAAUAAGCACCGGCUAACUACGUGCCAGCAGCCGCAGUAAUACGUAGGGUGCAAGCGUUAAUCGGAAUUACUGGGCGUAAAGCGUGCGCAGGCGGUUUUGUAAGUCUGAUGUGAAAUCCCCGGGCUCAACCUGGGAAUUGCAUUGGAGACUGCAAGUCUAGAAUCUGGCAGAGGGGGGUAGAAUUCCACGUGUAGCAGUGAAAUGCGUAGAUAUGUGGAGGAACACCGAUGGCGAAGGCAGCCCCCUGGGUCAAGAUUGACGCUCAUGCACGAAAGCGUGGGGAGCAAACAGGAUUAGAUACCCGAGUAGUCCCA
rnacentral:rRNA from 1 species